rnacentral:rRNA from 1 species
CCUACGGGUGGCAGCAGUGGGGAAUAUUGCACAAUGGGCGAAAGCCUGAUCCAGCAACGCCGCGUGGGUGAAGGAGCGUUUCGGCGCGUAAAGCCCUGUCAGCGGGGAAGAAGAAAGACGGUACCCGACCAAGAAGCCCCGGCUACCUACGUGCCAGCCGCCGCGGUCAUACGUAGGGGGCGCGCGUUAUCCGGAAUUACUGGGGGUAACGGGAGCGUAGACGGCGAGGUAAGCCUGAGGUGGAAGCCCGCGGCCCAACCGCGGCACUGCUUGGGGAACUGUUUUGCUGGAGUAUGGGUGGGGUAAGCGGAAUUCGUGGUGUAGCGGUGAAAUGCGUAGAUAUCAGGAGGAACACCGGUGGCGAAGGCGGCUUACUGGACCAUAACUGACGUUGAGGCUCGAAAGCGUGGGGAGCGAACAGGAUUAGAUACCCGGGUAGUC